rnacentral:rRNA from 1 species
GACGGAGGAUGCAAGCGUUAUCCGGAAUGAUUGGGCGUAAAGCGUCCGCAGGUGGCAGUUCAAGUCUGCUGUCAAAGACCGGGGCUUAACUUCGGAAAGGCAGUGGAAACUGAACAGCUAGAGUAUGGUAGGGGCAGAGGGAAUUCCUGGUGUAGCGGUGAAAUGCGUAGAUAUCGGGAAGAACACCCGUGGCGAAGGCGGCUCUCUGGGACGGUACUGACGCUGAGACGCGAAAGCGUGGGGAGCGAACAGG